rnacentral:lncRNA from 12 species
AUCGGCCGGGCGUACGUGUGACUGCGCGCGCCCUCCCGCCCAUGCCUCAUGUCAGGGAGAUGGCGUCACUUCAUCCCCUGUGUCCUGCCUGAAAUGACCCCCCAGAGCGGAAAACCGGAGGCACAACCGGGAAGACAGGAGGGAGGCCGCGCGGCCAACACUCUGGAUGGAGAAGCAAGACUUAAAGCACCGCAGACGGGGUCCACGUGGGCAGAGAGGACACCAGGAGGACAGAGGGACGUCCCCAAAUCCUGAACACCUGGCCAGGAAGGGGGCUGUCGGGCGAGGCGGGGAGUCUCCCCCGUGCGACCUCAGUGGUCCUCUCGGGUGGUUUGUGAGCCCGUUGAGGAAGCCAGGGGCCUCCAGGAGCAGAGCAAAUAGGGGGCCGGCUGCUCACGCCCCCGUCCAGGCAGGAUGCAGGAUGCAGGCGCGCCCCGGGGUGACCCAGCGCAAUGGGGGGCCCCGGUGGCCGGCAGAGAAGGGAGACGCAGGGAGCCUGCGAGCCCUGGCUGGGAGAGCUGUUUCCUUCUGUCCGGGCCACUUGUUAAAGUCCCAGUGCUUUUUAUGGUUCCUCUUAACUGCGGUGGAAAUGAGGCACAGAGGUCAAUGUCACGCGCGCGCACACAAGCUUCAGAGGACAGGGAGACCUCAAUGUCAUUCCCGGCGCGGGAAUGGAAAGACAGAUGGCCCUUCUGUGACAGGCCGCGGGUAAUUUGAGCCCGAGAUUCAGGCCGCGAGGAGAGGCUAUCACCAAAGAAUAAAUCUGAGUCAGCGGCAAAGCAAUCACUUUGGAUUAAGGGCACUUUCCGGGGCCAGAAGGAACAAAGGCUAUUCCCCGAAGCCCGCGGAAUAAAUACUAGUUGUUUCUCACGAUGAGAGAGGCUGGCAGAGGGACCGUGCACACUGACCGGGGCGGCCGGGCCGCCCUCACCCGCCAUCCCCAUGACCUUCGUGCCGCACACUUCGCACGCGCCGCCCCCACCCCGCCCCUGCACGCGGGUCCUGCCCGGAGGGGGCAGGAAAGCUUUCCCAGGUUGGAACCUCCAGGGAGACCCACGUCACCUGGGCCCAGGGCCGUCAGACCAGUGCUGGAGGAGGAAAAACGGCGCUGCCCGCCCCCAGCCUGGCGCCCUGGCGCCCUGCGGCCAGCACCGCCCACCCUGAGCUCCGUGUCUGUUGGUUUUCCCCGACAUGCCACGCACUUCUUCCAAACCGAAGUGGAGCUCAGCACACGGCUGCCGGUCACCGCUCACCUGCGGGCAGGAGUGAGCCCGCCUACCCUGGGAUCCCCUCGUCCCGGGAUGGCACGUCCUGCGGCCGCCUGCCCACCCCAGGCCUCCCUCGGCGCACCCCCAGCCCAGAAGAAGUCCUUCUCCAAAGCCAUUAUGAUGGAGCCCGGGCUUACCCUCGGCGGGAGGGGGGUGGGCCGGGCACCCGCCACAGGCGCAUCCUCUGCACACGGUGACUCGGGGACCCGGGGCUUCUCCAGCCUGCGGCUCAACCGGAACGGCCACAGAGGCCAUGCUGGCCCUCGGCGCUCAGCUAGCUGCAGGGAGGCCGGACGGACAGCCCAGGGCCUGCACGGGGAGCACGGACAGUCAGCCCGAGGACAGUAUGGGGAGCAUGGGCAGACAGCCCGGGGCCCCCACAGGGAGCAUGGACAGAUAGCCUGGGGCCCUCACGGGGAGUAUGGACGGACAGCCCGAGGACAGCACGGGGAGCAUGACGGUCAGCCCUAG